GCACAAAUGGUGCAGUGGUUAGAACCUCCAGCUGUUAACCCGAAGGUCCCGGGUUCGAUUCCUGGUAUAUAUG
rnacentral:tRNA from 1 species